GAUGAACGCUGGCGGCGUGCCUAAUACAUGCAAGUCGAGCGAACAGACGCGGAUCUUGCUCCUCGGACGUUAGCGGCAGACGGGUGUGUAACACGUGUAUAACCUACCUAUCAUACUGGGAUAACUUCGGGAAACCGGCGCUAAUACCGUAUGAUAUAUUGAACCGCAUUGUGCAAUGGUGAAAGACGGUGGUUCGGGCAGUUAUAGAGGGAUCCGCGCCGCAUUAGCUAGUUGUGAAGUUAACGGCUUACCAAGGCGACGAGGCGUAGACGAGCUGAGAGACUGAUCGGCCACACUGGAACUGAGACAGGGUCCAGACUACUACGGGAGGCAGCAGUAGGGAAUCUUACGCAAUGGGCGAAAGCCUGACGGAGCAAGGCCGCGUGAGUGAUGAAGGUCUUCGGAUCGUAAAACUCUGUUAUUAGGGAAGAACAAAUGUGUAAGUAACUAUGCACGUAUUGACGGUAACUAAUCAGAAAGCAACGGCUAACUACGUG
rnacentral:rRNA from 1 species